AUUGAACGCUGGUGGCAGACCUAACACAUGCAAGUCGAGCGGAUGGAGGGAGUUUGCUCCUGGAUUCAGCGGCGGACGGGUGAGUAAUGCCUAGGAAUCUGCCUGGUAGUGGGGGAUAACGUCCGGAAACGGGCGCUAAUACCGCAUACGUCCUGAGGGAGAAAGUGGGGGAUCUUCGGACCUCACGCUAUCAGAUGAGCCUAGGUCGGAUUAGCUAGUUGGUGGGGUAAAGGCCUACCAAGGCGACGAUCCGUAACUGGUCUGAGAGGAUGAUCAGUCACACUGGAACUGAGACACGGUCCAGACUCCUACGGGAGGCAGCAGUGGGGAAUAUUGGACAAUGGGCGAAAGCCUGAUCCAGCCAUGCCGCGUGUGUGAAGAAGGUCUUCGGAUUGUAAAGCACUUUAAGUUGGGAGGAAGGGCAGUAAGUUAAUACCUUGCUGUUUUGACGUUACCAACAGAAUAAGCACCGGCUAACUUCGUG
rnacentral:rRNA from 1 species